rnacentral:lncRNA from 1 species
UUUUACUUCAGCUCAUGAAACAUGGGACCAACACUUUACAUGUUGCAUUUAUAUUUUUGUUCAGUAUAGAUAUUGGUGACUGAGUUAUUUUAGUUUAUUGUUGGCGGAAGGUGUUAUGGAAUAAGUUAGCUUGGUUAGGUUUUAGGAGCAUAAUUAGACACUACCAUUACACACUUCCCCAUCUCAUCGCUAGGUGCAGCAGCAACCAAGUCCAGGUGCUGCGGCUUGAUAAAUCGACAGGUGGGAGCAAUCAGGUGGAUUGUGUGAGAGAGGUGGCAAGAAGCCACUCAGCCUGCCUUUGUUUGUUUUGUAUUACCUUUAAUUUUUGGGAUGCCUUUGUGCAUUUUUUCCUUUUUGGAUAUAUUUCUGUUUCGUCAUCAUCUGAACAAAUAAUAAUGACCUUGGACUGGCGGACCAUGAGAGUCAUGACUCAACUGGACCUAAGACAAGGUUGCUGUCUCCCAGCUCUCCACCGGCUACAAUGUUCCAACCGGGGCAGGAUGUCGACGUGUUUGCCAUCCCUCCAUCCUGCUUAGUUCCAAGAGGAACAGGACGACAGAACACCAGUUGCCAUGAAGCGCCAUUCCUGUUGCAUCCAGGCACCUGGCCAAAAGCAGAGCAAAAAAAAAAAGGAGAUUCCUCGUUGCACCACUAGAGGUCAUCAGUCCCUCAGGUGAGCGAGGUUCCUCGUCACCUAGGACAUCCUUACAGGCUGGGGAAGAUUUUCACGCAUGCGCAGUCGCCCCACUGGUGAUGGACUGUGGUAGCUUGGGAACAGUAGGCCUGGUAUCCUAUUAUGUGUUUGUACAUUUUUGUCUUUUGGGAAAUCGGCUCCAUUACUAGAGGAUUGUGCUGCGUCCUUUAUUAGAGCCAGGGAACAUGAAGUAUGUGUUUACACUAAUUCUCUGUUCCUGAAGAAGGUGAAGGGGGCAGGUCCUGUCGGACUAGGCCCCGGACAGCUAUCUGGUGUCUUACGCCAACAGUGCUAUUGUAUCUCUCGCCUAAUCCUUGUACCCUGAAUUGGUUUCCUUCACAGGAAAACAAUCAAUAAGUAGCACAUCACCACAUGGCCAUAGCAAACCGUCUCAGGGCUCGCCACACUUCAGAGUGGAUGUUUUUCCCUCUCUCGGCUGUCACCCUGCAUAGGCAUAGCGUCAGGGGAAUCAGAGGGAAUAGAGGCGUUAUCACCUAGUGUGGAGCACACCUUUAGCCUUCUAGGAUCAGCUAGGCUCGUACAAUCUCCUAGCUAACUAGUUCUCCAUCCACUUGGUUAACUGUCCUGCAAUGUCAUUUCCCUUCUAUCCUACAAGAGGAAUUUGACUGCACUGAUGACCCACAACCGAUAGGGCGCGUUCGCUCCCUUCAUCUAAUGGGCUGGUUCCAGACUGUUGGAGACAGCAGGCACUCUUCACUUUGC